ACAUAUUCCAGGGAACCUUCUGGCGGUUGCCACAGGAGUCUUGCCAAGCCUGGCAGCUCCUGGUGCCAGGAGGUCCUGGUCCUCAGGGGUGCUGCAGCAAGGUCCUGCUGCCCCCACAGAGAAGUAGGCUAGUGAAUCCACAGUGUUGUGAGGAGUGAGAGAAGGGGGCACUAAUGGGGCCUGGCCGGGCAGCUAUGAUUGGGAGAGUGCCCUGGGGGCGGAGCUAGGCAGACAACAAGGGUGGGUUGGGCGACUCCACAACCACUAAAGAGGACUGAAGGUUCUCUAGCUGCAGAAGGUCACCCUGAGCCUGAAGCUAAGCUCUCCCGAGGGGGAAGAAGAAAGAUCACCAAUGGCAGAAGGCCGUGGCAGCAUAGGCGCAGAAAGAGCUUGUUUUGUGCUCAGGAGAGAACACGGCAUCUCAGCCUCCUGGUUUUAGUGGCAUUCAGCAUUCAAGAAGGAUAACCCAACCUACCCGUCAUGGCAACUGCAGAAGCUAUACCUGAAGUAGUGGAAGGCCCCUUAUUAGAAACCACCCAGCGAGAUUUUUUGCAAGAAGCAAAAUCUCUUAUCGCCCAGCAUUACAAGAGAGUAAACGAG
rnacentral:sRNA from 1 species